GAUAUGUGUGGUUGACAUGAGGAUAAGUAUGUGUGGGUAUGAAUGUGUGAGUGUGAGUGUAUGUGGGUGACAUGUGUGUGAAUGGGAUCCUGUGCAUGUGUGGUUACAUCUGUAGCUGUGUGUUUUAGCAUUUCUGUGUCCCUCAUCACAGGUGAGUCAGCAAGCUUGCUCCUUUAGGUCAAUCAUUUCUGCACCUGGCAGAGAGGUCAGCUGUCGAGGGUUUCUGAUGGGUUAUUUCUAAGCAGGGUUUGUGCCCCUGCUCGGUGCUGAGGGUGACAGGUGACUUCACUUUCUCUGGAGGGUUCUGUCUCACUGCAGCCCUGUGGGAUUCAGAGAAAGAGCCCCUUGUAAUGACGUGCAAACAGUCAGGGGUGGACAACACCUUUAGUGACAGAGACAGUGUCAGCAGGCGUCUAUUACUUGCAUUUCUACUGGACUAUCCGAGACACAGUGAGUAGAAACCAUCACGCCUCCAGCCGGCUCCAGCACAGACUCAACCACUGACAGUAACCCCAAAGAGGAAUGAGACGUGUGCAUGCAACGUGCCCUGUCGCUAGCUAGAACUGCCAUUACAUCACAGCACCACAGAUGGGGUGGGUGGCUUAAAGAGGACACUCAUUUUCUCACAGUUCUGGAGGCUGAAAGUGUGAGAUCAAGAGGUGAUCAAGGUUAGACUCUUCUGAGGCCACUGUCGUCGGCUGUCUAGUCUGUGUCUUCACACGGUCUUGCCUACAUGUGCAGCUUUGUCCUCGUUGAAUAAGGACACUGGUCAGUGUAGAUUAGGGCCCACGACAGUGGUCUCAUUUAACAUGACCUCUCUAAAGCCCCUCUCUUCAAGUACAGUCACAUUCUAACUUCCUGGGGUUUGGGACUUCAAUAUGUGAAACUGGAGGAGCCACAAUUUACCCAUUACAGAAGAAUUGGGGAGAAAGGGUACCUCCCACCAGAGGUCUUGUCCCAGGACCCAGCGGACUCUGAGGCCCUCUCAGGGGGUAGAUGACGACCUCAGCCCAUCUGCACUUGGAAUGAAGCAGAAGGCGUGCAACCCGCUGUUGAAGUGCUCAAGUCUCACCUCCGUCACUGUCAUCGGCCCAAAGGCAGUCCUUUCAACAAAGCUGAGCAGGGUUGCUGGGCACUGAGCCGAGGGCAAGGGUGAGAGUCAAGAUCAGGACUGAGUCCCCCCAACACUGACGGCAGGAUGCUAUUCAGAACUGCUGUUUCACGGUGUGAAGCAUUUAUAGUGAUCUAGGGUGCUACUGAGACGCCAACACAAGACAAAGUGGGCUAGUGAAAUGUCCUGAUGGUGGGGUGUGCAUGUGUACGUGCAUGUGUGUAAUGGAAGCGCAUGGGGUACAGAAAUGUCCUGAUAGAAACAGAUGCUUGCUCUCCUAAGAUGUACUGGUGUCGGCCAGCAGCUCAAAAAUGCACCACACACAAAGUGACAGGUGGACAGUUGUGCGACAAAGGAUCCGGGACAAAAGUCUGCAGUGACAGAAUAUCAGUGGUGGGUGUUUUAUGGGCAUUCUCUAAAUAAUCCUCUCAACUCUCUGUAUGUUUGGAACAUUUCAGAAUGAAUGCUGGGCAAUAACUGUGUGUAGGAAACGGAAUAAAGAU